rnacentral:rRNA from 1 species
CGGCGGACGGGUGAGUAACGCGUGGGUGACCUGCCCCAUACCGGGGGAUAACAGCUGGAAACGGCUGCUAAUACCGCAUAAGCGCACAGAGCCGCAUGGCUCGGUGUGAAGAACUCCGGUGGUAUGGGAUGGGCCCGCGUCUGAUUAGGCAGUUGGCGGGGUAACGGCCCACCAAACCGACGAUCAGUAGCCGGCCUGAGAGGGCGACCGGCCACAUUGGGACUGAGACACGGCCCAA